UUUUUUUCUUUUUUCGUUUUUUUUUUUUUUUUUUUUUUUUUAAUCGAAGAAGAAGAAACAUCUUAUAAGAAUUUUUCGACCGACCACCAAGGGAUAAUUAUUCAAAAAUCUCCACUUUUCUACCUUCUACAUAUUGGCUAAAAGAAAGAACACCUUUUCUCCGAGGCUCAAAUCAAGGUUCUAAGGAUAAUUUGACAAAAAGGGUAGGCUUGAAAGGCUCAAACGGUUCAAAGAAGGCCCAAAUCAUAUCCCAAAUCACUUACUAUCAACACUUCGUAUCAUAAAUGUCCUAAGGUGAGAUUUAAAACCGAACAAAGCAUGAUUGAGCACAAAUAAAUUCCAAAUUUAAAAUGCAAAACAUUCAACCAAAG
rnacentral:lncRNA from 1 species